AUUGAACGCUGGCGGCAGGCCUAACACAUGCAAGUCGAGCGGAGCGGCGGACGGGUGAGUAAUGCCUAGGAAUCUGCCUGGUAGUGGGGGAUAACGUCCGGAAACGGGCGCUAAUACCGCAUACUAUCAGAUGAGCCUCGGUCGGAUUAUCUAGGUGGUGGGGUAAAGGCCUACCAAGGCGACGAUCCGUAACUGGUCUGAGAGGCGGAUCAGUAACACGGGAACUGAGACACGGUCCAGACUCCUACGGGAGGCAGCAGUGGGGAAUAUUGGACAAUGGGCGAAAGCCUGAUCCAGCCAUGCCGCGUGUAUGAAGAAGGCCUUCGGGUUGUAAAGUACUUUCAGCGGGGAGGCGUUACCCGCAGAAGAAGCACCGGCUAACUCCGUGCCAGCAGCCGCGGUAAUAC
rnacentral:rRNA from 1 species